rnacentral:rRNA from 1 species
AUUGAACGCUGGCGGCAGGCUUAACACAUGCAAGUCGAACGAGUGGCGGACGGGUGAGUAAUGCUUGGGAAUCUAGCUUAUGGAGGGGGAUAACUACGGGAAACUGUAGCUAAUACCGCGUACCAUAGGAUGAGCCCAAGUGGGAUUAGGUAGUUGGUGAGGUAAAGGCUCACCCAGACGACGAUCCCUAGCUGGUCUGAGAGGAUGAUAAGCCACACUGGGACAGAGACACGGACCAGACUACGACGGGAGGAAGCAGUGGGGAAGAGUGCGCAAUGGGGGCAACCUGACGCAGCCAUGCAGCGUGAAUGAAGAAGGCCGUCGGGUUGUAAAGUUCUUUCGGUAGCGAGGCGUUAACUACAGAAGAAGCACCGGCUAACUCCGUGCAAGCAGCCGCGGUAAUUC